rnacentral:rRNA from 1 species
AUUGUAAUUUGCAGAGGAUGCUUCGGGAGCGGCCCCCAUCUAAGUGCCCUGGAACGGGCCGUCAUAGAGGGUGAGAAUCCCGUCUGGGAUGGGGUGCCCGCGCCCGUGUGAAGCUCCUUCGACGAGUCGAGUUGUUUGGGAAUGCAGCUCUAAAUGGGUGGUAAAUUUCAUCUAAAGCUAAAUACUGGCCGGAGACCGAUAGCGCACAAGUAGAGUGAUCGAAAGAUGAAAAGCACUUUGAAAAGAGAGUUAAACAGCACGUGAAAUUGUUGAAAGGGAAGCGCUUGCGACCAGACUCGCUCGCGGGGUUCAGCCGGCCUUCGGGCCGGUGUACUUCCCCGCGGGCGGGCCAGCGUCGGUUUGGGCGGCCGGUCAAAGGCCCUCGGAAUGUAACGCCCCCCGGGGCGUCUUAUAGCCGAGGGUGCCAUGCGGCCAGCCCGGACCGAGGAACGCGCUUCGGCUCGGACGCUGGCAUAAUGGUCGUAAGCGACCCGUCUUGAAACACGGACCAAGGAGUCUAACAUCUACGCGAGUGUUCGGGUGUCAAACCCGUGCGCGCAGUGAAAGCGAACGGAGGUGGGAACCCCUCGGGGUGCACCAUCGACCGAUCCUGAUGUCUUCGGAUGGAUUUGAGUAAGAGCGUAGCUGUUGGGACCCGAAAGAUGGUGAACUAUGCCUGAAUAGGGCGAAGCCAGAGGAAACUCUGGUGGAGGCUCGCAGCGGUUCUGACGUGCAAAUCGAUCGUCAAAUUUGGGUAUAGGGGCGAAAGACUAAUCGA